rnacentral:rRNA from 1 species
AGUGAACGCUGGCGGUAGGCCUAACACAUGCAAGUCGAACGGCAGCACAGUAAGAGCUUGCUCUUACGGGUGGCGAGUGGCGGACGGGUGAGGAAUACAUCGGAAUCUACUUUUUCGUGGGGGAUAACGUAGGGAAACUUACGCUAAUACCGCAUACGACCUACGGGUGAAAGCAGGGGAUCUUCGGACCUUGCGCGAUUGAAUGAGCCGAUGUCGGAUUAGCUAGUUGGCGGGGUAAAGGCCCACCAAGGCGACGAUCCGUAGCUGGUCUGAGCGGAUGAUCAGCCACACUGGAACUGAGACACGGUCCAGACUCCUACGGGAGGCAGCAGUGGGGAAUAUUGGAGAAUGGGCGGAAGCCUGAUCCAGCCAUACCGCGUGGGUGAAGAAGGCCUUCGGGUUGUAAAGCCCUUUUGUUGGGAAAGAAAAGCAGCAGGUUAAUACCCCGCCGUUCUGACGGUACCCAAAGAAUAAGCACCGGCUAACUUCGUG